GAGAGAGAGAGAGAGAAAGAGAGAGAGAUGGGUAGAAAGAGGAAUGAGAAACAAAAAAUAAAAUCAAAUCAUACUACUGCAUAUAAGGUUCAAAAGAAGAACCCGAAGGCAAAAGCAGCCAAAGAUGCAAAGAAUGUGGGAACAAAAACAGAGGCAUCAGAAGUUGGGCUUGGUGCUGGUGCUUCAGCAGCUGCAGCCAUUUGCAUGGUGGAGAAAGCCAUCAACACAACCAUCAAAACAACAAAGAGCUUCAUCUUCAUUGCUUCCAUCUCUUUGAAAAAUUAAAAUUUUGAAAGGAGAAUUGGACUUCACAACUCCUCUUUGAGAUAUAUGUAUAGAAAAAGAGGAAUGGUAGAGAGGAAGCAGUGUGUACAUACAAGGGUUUGUGGAUUAAUGGGGUAGUGGGUAC
rnacentral:misc_RNA from 1 species